rnacentral:tRNA from 2 species
CAGUAGCUCAGCUGGAUAGAGCAACGGCCUUCUAAGCCGUAGGUCGUGGGUUCGAAUCCCGCCUG